GCACAGGACAGAGUGGGGCCCUGAAGGACAGGGUGGGCCCAAGUACAAUGGGACGAUUCAUCUUGGGACACAGCUGAGGUGCCAGGACAGAUGGAAAUGCCCAAGUCAGAGGAGGGCAAGGGCAUCGACAUGAGCCAGGUGGCCGUCGCCGGGGUCCCAGAGGUGCUGUUCGUCUGCCGCGGCGUCCACACUACCGCUGUUUGUUGUAAGAACCGAGCGGCCCGGGUCCGAGUGGGCAAGGGGGACAAGCCGGUGACCUACGAGCAGGCCCAUCCCCCACACUACAUCGCUCACCGCAAGGGCUGGCUGUCUCUGCACACGAGUAACCUGGACGGAGAGGAGGGGGCUGCGGAGAGGACGGUGGAGGACGUGUUCCUCCGCAAGUUCCUGUACGGCACCUUCCCAGGCUGCCUGGCCGAUGAGGUGGUCAUUAAGCGCCAGGCCAACCAGCUGGUCAUCUGCUUGCUGCUGCUGCAGCGCAUGCAGCCCUCCAAGCUGUACUUCCUGGUGGGCUACAGCGAGGAGCUGCUGUCCACUUUCUACAAGUGCCCCGUGCGCCUGAGCCUGCAGACGCUGCCCACCAAGGUCGUCUACAAGUACAUCUAGGGCCUGCCCAGCCCAGUGGGUGUGGACCCUCUGGCGUUGGGACUGAGGGACUGGGUCUCGGUCAUCACGGCUACCGGAGAAAGGGCUACCGAAGAAAGGGCUACCGAAGAAAGGGCCCGUGUUCAUCAAGAGGGCGGUGGUCUUCCAAGUAGGGAUCGUGAUUUCUUGAUUUAAAAUUGGACAGGAGAGGGAUCGACCAUUCCAGCCUCUCAUUUAACAGAUGAAGAGAUCGAAGUCACAGACAAGUAUUAAAUAGCUGAGCCAUGGCCUCUUUUCCCAGGCAUUGCUAGCAUCCUUUCCACCGUAUGGCUUCAUGCACUGCCCGUCACUGUGCCUUUGGCAGCAAGAUUUACUUUACUGAUGCACAGAGCUGGACAUAUGACUCCUCUACUCACUUCAACCCUUCCAACUCCAUAUUGGGAGGAGCUAGGUGGUUCAGCGGAUAGAACACCAGGCCUGGAGUCAGAAAGACUCAUCUUCCUGAGUUCAGAUCAGGCCUAAGACACUUAAUAGGUGUGUGACACCUAACCCUGUCGGCCUCAGUUUCCUCAUCUGUAAAAUGAGCUGGAGAAGGAAAUGACAAACCACUCCAGUAUCUCUGCUGAGAAAACCCCAAGUAGGGUCGUGAAGAAUCGGACAUGCCUGAAAAGUCUCAACAACAAAGUUCAACUUCCUUUACCUAGUUUUCAAAGCCCUCCACAGUCUGGCUUUACCCUACUUUUGUCCUGGUGUCCUUGUUUCAUGCCACUCCCUUCCACAUGUUCUACUUUCUGGCCUAACUAGGCAUCUUACUGUCCUUUGGAUGUUCCCACCUCUGUGCCUUUGCCUAUGCUGUUCCCUGUCCCUUCUCCCCACGCAGCCUGUGGAAAUCCCAGCUAUUGUUGCUUCCUCAAGGAAGCCUUUCCCUUUAUCUAAUCUUUCAUCCCUUCAAGCUGCUCAUAGCAUAUUUUUAAAAAAUUUCUCUUAAAACAUUUAUAAGGAAUUUGUGUGUGUGUGUGUGUGAGAUCUUGUGAUUAGACAACUCCACAAGAGUAGAGACUGGAUUGUCUUACAAUCUCGUUUCUUUCCCAUCACAGGGUUCUGCCUACAAUAGGGAUUUAAUUAAUGUUCAUUAUUUGAACUGAAUCGAGUUCAGACCAGCCCUCAUUUCACCAAUGAGAAAACUUGAGUCCUGGAGAAGUUAUGAGCUGCCCAAAGGAGACCCAGUGCCCCUCUUUGAUGGCAUCUCAUCUCUUAGCAGUUGGGUGCUUUUACACCCUCUGGGCAUCAACUGUUUAGUGGACACAGGCUGUGGUGGCGGGAAGCACUGUAUUGGGAGUCAGAAGACCUGGGUUCAGAUCCCAGCUCUGCUACUUAUUUCCUCUGUCACUUAGGCUAAGGCACUUAACCUCGCUGUCCCCAGUUUCUUCAUCUGUAAGAGGAAGGAAUUGUGCUAGAUAAUCUCCAAGGCCCCCUCUAGUUCUAAGUCCUAUGAUUUUUAAAAAAGACAAACCCAAACCCGGAUUUAUUGGCCUGCCUUCCAAUUGCCAAACUGUCUUGAUUGCCUCAUUUCCUUCCUCAGCCUCUGCCUUCGACCCUGUGGGUGAAGACAGCCGCCCCCAACAGACAGGGCCCUCCUUUCCUUAGAGUGAGUCACAGGUAUUGGAGAGGCCCGUGGGCAGCUUGGCUCCAAGAUGGGGCCCUCCCUUCCUCCUGUUUUUUUUUCCAGUGAUCAGUCCCAGAGCUUGCUUCCCAUUUUUUCCCCUCUACCCCUCAUUUGCCUCCCUCCUAUGGCCAAUGGAUUAAAUGUGCUAGGUUUUUCUUUGCUUUAAAAGUGAGGUCCUUGUGGGAAGUCUUCUCCUCCUCCUCCUUCUCUCUUCCUCUCUCUCUCACUCUCUCUUUCUCCCCCUCUUCCUGCCUUUUUCUCUG